UACGUAGGGUGCGAGCGUUGUCCGGAAUUAUUGGGCGUAAAGAGCUCGUAGGCGGUUUGUUGCGUCGGCCGUGAAAACCUGCAGCUUAACUGUGGGCCUGCGGCCGAUACGGGCAGACUUGAGUUCGGUAGGGGAGACUGGAAUUCCUGGUGUAGCGGUGAAAUGCGCAGAUAUCAGGAGGAACACCGGUGGCGAAGGCGGGUCUCUGGGCCGAUACUGACGUGAGGAGCGAAAGCGUGGGGAGCGAACAGG
rnacentral:rRNA from 1 species